AGCAUUAUCCUCCAGGCGUUCAGCUGAUAAAUCACACAUAUCGCGAAAGCUUUAGUGACAGAGGAUGUGAGGUGAAAUACUUAUCUGAGAAGGAGGAGAGAGAGCAACAGAGUGACGUAUUUGCAGUGAUGCUGUUGACAUGCCUCGUGGUCUUUGGCUCUUCUUAGGCUCCCAGGAGACAUUUUGCACCUUAGGGCUUUAACGUCUCAGACGUUAAUCUCAAGUCCCUGCCUGUAGCAGACAGCAGCUAUGGAGAAGCGCAGAGACAAGAGGGAGAUGUAACAGCAUCAGUUCAAAGAGAUGCAAAAAGGUGCACAAGCGACAGUGGAACCAAGUCCAAAAACACUGCUGAGCUGGUGCCUUCAGGAAUUGCAUGCUGAAAUGCCAGCACUGAAGCUGAGUGGUAGUCAUGAUGGUGUUAAAUGAAUGGAAGAACAUUCUGUAGACAGAGCAUUUCGAAGAGUGUGGCUUUCUGAGAGUUAAGACCACUCCGCAGUCCUGUUACCCUCCUGAACUGACGGCCAAGUAUUGACCAGCUUCUCCGGAAACACAGAUUUCCUACCAGUUACCUCCUAAAAAGUAAUCAACAUCUUUCUGCUCGAUGUCUUCAGCGUGGUGGCUCCAGGCUGAUCCAGGACAGCAGCUCCCAGUGAGAGAUGACCCAACAACGCACGCAGGCAGCAGUCUCAGCUGGACAAAACACUGAUACCAAUACAUCCACCAAAAUUUAUUACCUACCUGGAAUGGAGAGUCAGUGCACUGUGCAGCAUGCGUAAGCAUGAAUGCAUUGUACAUUUAUUUAUUUCUAUUCGUGUAUUUUCAUAUCCAGGUUGUUCACUACCAACUGCCGAGAAACAUCAAAAAUUAAAACAAAUGAAU
rnacentral:lncRNA from 7 species